ACGUAUUGUAAUAAAACUAGGACAUAAUUUUAUACUUAAUACAUUCAUAUGAUCAAUAAAAAGGCAAGUUUAGCUUUUAUUCAAGUGUGAUGUGUCUUUGAAUCAUCUAUGAAAUUAACAUUUCGAUAUAUAUUCUCAAAGUAUUAAAAAUUAGAGACAUAUAUUUAAUUCUUAAAUACUCUCGAUCAUAGUAUCAUUAUGAGGAUGGUGAUUGAUGAGGAUAGACUGGUGCAC
rnacentral:lncRNA from 1 species